GCCACCUCUAGCCCCAACAAAGAUGACUAAGCCACCUCACCACACUAAACUAAAACAUUCUAAUCAACCGAGUAUAGGCGAUAGAAAGGAACCCAUGGGCGCUAUAGAGAAAUGUACCGUAAGGGAAAGAUGAAAUAAUAAUGAAACCAAGAGCACAAAACAGCAAAGACAAACCCUUGUACCUUUUGCAUCAUGAUCUAGCAAGAAUAACCAAGCAAAGUGAACUUAAGCUUGCCCCCCCGAAACCCGAGCGAGCUACUCGCAAGCAGCUACCCCCUGAGCGAACCCGUCUCUGUUGCAAAAGAGUGGGACGACUUGCUAGUAGUGGUGAAAAUCCUACCGAGCCGGGUGAUAGCUGGUUGCCUGCGAAAGGAAUCUAAGUUCCGCCAUAACUCUCCCCCCCCCGACAACGAUCCCCCAUGAGAGAGUUAAGAGUACUUUAAAGGAGGUACAGCCCCUUUAAAAUAGGACACAACCUCCCCCAGAGGAUAACGACCACGCACGUAGAAUAGUAGGCCCUCAAGCAGCCACCAAUAAAGAGUGCGUCAAAGCUCAACACCUUAAAAUCUUUAGACACAACGACUCCCUCACCCCUAACAGGCUAACCUAUUGACCAACAUAGGAGAAUUAAUGCUAGAAUGAGUAAUCCGGGAACUUCCCUCUGAAGCGCAAGCUUACACGAUAACAUUAUUAACAGCCUAAAAUCAAGCCCAAACACUAACAAGAACAUCAUAUUGGANNCCCCCCGUUAACCCAACCAAGGAGCGCCUGCUAGAAAGAUUAAAAUCUGCAAAAGGAACUAGGCAAACCCAAGGCCCGACUGUUUACCAAAAACAUAGCCUUCAGCAGGCCAAGUAUUGAAGGUGACGCCUGCCCAGUGACAAAGUUCAACGGCCGCGGUAUCCUAACCGUGCGAAGGUAGCGCAAUCAAUUGUCCCAUAAAUCGGGACCUGUAUGAACGGCCAAACGAGGUCUUAACUGUCUCUUGCAGAUAAUCAAUGAAAUUGAUCCCUCCGUGAAAAAGCGGAGAUACCCCCAUAAGACGAGAAGACCCUGUGGAACUUUAAAAUCAGCGGCCACCACCCCACCCUAUCCCACCCCCCCCGGGGACCACCUCAUCCGUGUAUGCUUGACCGCCAUUUUUCGGUUGGGGCGACCUUGGAGCAAAACAAACCCUCCAAAACUAAGGCCAUACCCCCUUUACCAAGAACACCCCCUCGAUGUGCUAAUAGCAACCAGACCCAAUAAAAUUGAACAUUGGACCAAGCUACCCCAGGGAUAACAGCGCAAUCUCCUCCAAGAGCCCAUAUCGACGAGGAGGCUUACGACCUCGAUGUUGGAUCAGGACAUCCUAAUGGUGCAGCCGCUAUUAAGGGUUCGUUUGUUCAACGAUUAACAGUCCUACGUGAUCUGAGUUCAGACCGGAGUAAUCCAGGUCGGUUUCUAUCUAUGAUAAACCCUCCCUAGUACGAAAGGACCGGAAGGGUGGGGCCACUGCCACUCAGCACGCCCUCACCUCACGCAGUGAACACCACUCAACUGCACAAAAACAUACUUCGCCCAAGAAAAGGGCAG
rnacentral:rRNA from 1 species